ACCAAAACCAGUGCUACUAGCUGGGGACCAGGCAUCCUAACACAAGUGUCCAAAACAUUUCACCUUCAAAACACAAAAGAGUCGAAGUGUGGCUCCUCUUGCUGCUUUCUUAAACUUGUUUUCUUUUUAAAGAUUUUAACUUUUUUAAAGGAACACUCAUUUGAGAGAAAGAGAGGACAGAGGAAAAAAAGAGAAGACAGAGAGGGAGAAUCAUGUAUGUAGAUGCCUACAGAAGCCAGACAAGAGCAUCAGAGUCACUGGACAUUGGAGUUACAAGAGACAGAUGAUAACGUUCCAGAGAGGGUUGCAAAGAUGAAUCACCAGCUGUCCCGGAUUGGAAGUGUCCAACAAAGGCCACGUUAAAGACUCAGGCUGUGGUGCUUUUAAGGGGUGUGUGGACCUUUAAGAGGCAUCAGGUACUUCCUGUUUUCCACCAUGAUAUUCUGCCACAGCACUGGCCCCAAACAAUACAGUCAGCCUGACACAGACAGGCACCUCUGAAAACCUGAACCAAAAUGAACAUUUCUUCCUUAAUUGUCCACUUUGAUUUCCUCUGAUAUAUCUCCUGUGUAUUUGCCAAUGUGACAGAAAGCUGAAUAACAGACCAACCAUGGGGAAAAAGAAAAACAAAAGAAAGCAAAACCAAAUAAACUUUGAAGAUGAGAAUGGUCAAAGAUGAUAGAAAAUGUGAGCUAUGGGACUCAACAGACUGGGAACAAGAGAAGGCCUGGAGCUGUGUUGGAAACCUUUCUGUGCGGUGCCUUCUUGUUCUGCCAAUAGAUUUGAGAUACUGGCCUUUAUAGCUAGAUUAGUAUAUCUUCCUGUGAACUACUUUAGCAAUUAUUAGCUAUAAACAACUCACAUUGAUAUAGAUUCUUGUAU
rnacentral:lncRNA from 1 species